CAACUAUCAAGCCCAAGCUUGGUAUUGGAUGCCACCUAGCUUGGUGCAUCUCAAAACUAGUGGCGGUGCCAUUUAGCUUUAAGCGUAGUAAAUUUCUCGCUCCUGGAGUUUUAAGUUGUGCCUGCUAGAACCCCAUAAUUUUAUA
rnacentral:misc_RNA from 1 species